rnacentral:lncRNA from 1 species
AUACAUACACAUAUAUGUUAAAAAAUAAAACAAACAUAUAUAUAUAUAUAUAUUAAAAGGGAUAAAAAUAUAUUUGAUUAACAGGUACAAGCUUUAUGUGAAAGUCAUGGAUAACACAAGCCAGAUCAAACUCAUGUACUUUUCUAUUCACCAAAAAAAAAAAAAACUCAUGUACUUUUCUAUACUGCGGCAGUUGACAUUGUCCCUGAGUCCUAGAUAGAUGGUUCAUAUGAUGUCGUUAUAAUAUAAUUAUCGUGUUUCUGUUAUAAAACAUAUAGUGGCUGAUAUAAAGAUUAGGUUUUCUUCUUUUAAGCGAUGAGAGUCGAGAAGAUUCAACUCCUUUAUCUAAAUGUUUGUUAGAUGUUAAAGAUGAUGUUUCUUAUAAGUCAUCAAUAACAAAAUGCGUAUGCUUGGAACCGGUUACAAAGGACGAUGGCUUGACUAAACUAAGGAGGGGUUAUUGGAUCAUUGAUUUCGA